UACGUAGGGUGCAAGCGUUGUCCGGAAUUAUUGGGCGUAAAGAGCUCGUAGGCGGUUUGUUGCGUCGGCUGUGAAAUCCCGAGGCUCAACCUCGGGUCUGCAGUCGAUACGAGCAAACUAGAGUGUUGCAGGGGAGACUGGAAUUCCUGGUGUAGCGGUGAAAUGCGCAGAUAUCAGGAGGAACACCAGUGGCGAAGGCGACACGCUGGGCCAUACCUGACGCUAAAGCGCGACAGCAUGGGGAGCAAACGGG
rnacentral:rRNA from 1 species